rnacentral:misc_RNA from 1 species
UUGAUGAACUUAGAGUCGGUUGUCGCUGGCUGUUCUUGCAGCAUGUGCACGCCUUCUCUUUUCAUCCACACACACCCCUGUGCACUUGUGAGACUGGAGACCGUAAAAAGUCUUCAGUCUGCUAAAUUCAUAUACAAACUCAUUUAAUUGAACUGAAUGUACUUGAUGUAACGCAUCAUUAAAC